GUCAAUCACAGCACAGUUUUUCUUGGGAAUAGUACAUUUUUAAAGCGUUAUUGUGUUUUCCCCAGGUUUUAUUGUCUGGUAGAAUUAAAAUAAUCUCAGCGCUAAAAGGACACCUUAACAUUUAGACAGACAUACCUCUUGUUGUAUAUGGGUAAACAAUGAGCGGUUUGGAGGCUGUGGAUCCAUCCUGGACGUCUCAUCAGAUCAUUUACCACACACUGGAACUUCAUUUAAGUGCAUCGCUGGCUAUAGAGCAGAAGAGGCUGUUGAAAUACUAAAGACUUUUUUUAAACAGGAAAACUCAAAUGCUCCCAAACCUAAAGUGAGGAAAGAUUUGAUCAGUCCACCAGAUGACGCUGUAGUCAUUCAGGUAUAACCAGGAUCACAAAAUCAGGGAAGAGAAACUUUGAAACUCCUUUUGAGCUGAAAUGGAAAAUAUUUGAACAUUCAGACAUUUAUAAGACUUUGUGAUUUUUGAUUUUGCCAUCUCUUUGAGAUCACUGAUUUAAUCUACUAUUUGAGGAACCACGUUUGCUCAUUAUCUGGAUCACAUUGCUUGUAAGCCUCCUCUUCUCUGUGGCUGGACACUGUUGUCUGUUAAAAGCGUGUAGAAGCAAAAGACUGGGCCUGUUCUGCAUUAAAGCACAGGUUCUUCUCCAGCUCUUGCUCUCUCUGUGUCCUUAUACAACCCAGAGAACUGUUUCUGAACUCUCAAUGAUCUCAGUCUUGGGCUCAGUAGCAGAUGCAGGACAGACCCAGGAUUUAGAGUUUUCACUACUCCAUAGCCAGAAACUUUAAAGGGAUCAUUAAAAAUGAAUUUGUAUCAUUAUUUUCUAACUCUACUUGUUUUUUUUCUUUAAUGGGACACAAAAGGUGAAUUUUAUAAAGAGUUUUUCAA